AGAAACGGCUCCGGUUACUAGAGUUUUUCCUUACCAGUUCUUGCAACUCACAGUCAGUGUGACACCUCACACGUGGAAAGACACAGAACUGACCUAGAGACUGACUUUAUUCUACGGAUUGCAAUGGAGAGACCACCCCAGGUCUGAAGAGCAGACUGUGUCAGCAGGGUGGCUUUGCAUUGGACUUGAGAGAGAUUAAUAGACAGUGCUACUGUGGGAAACAUUCGGGGGAGGGGGGAGUCUAAUCAACUGAACAGGAAAUGUUUGUCUUUGUGACUAGCUGGUUUCAGGAGGGCUGACUUUGAAUCUCAGUUACGAUUCAUGAGACAGAAAACACGGAGCUGAGGGUCUGUGUCUGACCUUUAAGGACUCGGAGGAAGGUCUGUGUUUGGCCUGCUAGCAGGGUACACCCAUGGGACACCUGAGAGGCUUAUGGCAAAUAGGACAAAGAGUGGACCGCAAGCCUUACCUAAGUCCUAAAGGGAAGGCCGGUCUUUGCUGGUAAGCCACUUCGGGAACACAGAAGUCUGCAGAGAUGUCUUUUCUGUGGCUCUUUCGGGGCUCAGGUGAAGUUCAGCCUUGUCAAAUGGUAAAGAUGAGCCAGGCAUCUUUCGUGCCUGUCCAAGCAGAUAUGUGGAUAAGAAGAGAGGGUCCCUUCUUACCCUGGAAGUCAUCGACACUUGAACAACACUUUAUAGUUGGCAAUACAUGAUGCACAGUGGCCACACGGAGAGGAGACACAAAGCAGAUAUGUAAAGCCCAGCAGACAUGCGUACAGGUAGAGACGUUGCCAUUGUACCUAGGGGGUAACUGACAGUCAAACGGUACUUUGUGGUGUAAAAGAAAAUUCCCCUAGACUAAAUUAAUGACACAGAAAGCAGUUUUCUUCAUCAUCAGACUCAUUCUCCUCUCACUGAUGAGGUGUCUUGGGCACAGAGAGGUUAGGUCAGCUCCCCCACGUCAUUCAGGUCAUACUUGUUUGAAUCCCAAAGGCAAGGAACAUUCAGCCCGUCCAAACUAAGCCAUCCACCCCGAGUCCCUACACACAUCUGCACCUCCUCUAGUGUUUGCCUGACUCAGUGCAAGGCAGCCUUCUCCCCGGCUGCUUUGGCCAGAGAUCCUUACAGUCAUCUGUGCCUGCCGCCUCUGUCUCACCAUCCCCUCGGGCACCAAGCCCCGCCUUUCUGCUCCUAAGUCUAGGCAAGAUCUUGCCACUUCUCUCCAUCACCACAGUGAGAUCCCUAGUCCAGGUCACCCUCAGCUCUACCCUGCACGACCACCACCAAUCCUGAUCCUUUGCCACCCUUUUUCCAUUCCACUGCCCGAGGAACCUUUCUGAAGUCCUAAUCUAGGAACGCCACACCUGUUCAAACCUCUGUGGGGGCUGUCCGCUGCUCUAGGGAUAGUGUCCGGCCUCCUGGACUAGGCACAUCAGGAGUCGCGUGCCCCUGAGUGCCUGAUCCUCACCGGACCCCUCCUGCUCCAUUCCCCCCACUUGACAUUCCAACCACCCCAAACCCCUUUCUGUACCUCACAUGGCCAGUGUGCUCACAAUCGUUCCUGCUGACCACUCCCAGACUGCACAUCCUCACAGGUGCUGUUCCCGCCAUCCUCAUCUGCUGGUUUCCUUCUUCGGUUCGGUGUCACGUUGGGUGGUGCAAUUUCCAUUUUACCUGGGCCGCACCUGGAUGAGAAGUCAGUUAACUCCUACUUUUAUAGAAUGGGAUGUGGUGGGGAUUUCUUGUUGAAUUCCCCAAAUCAAAACAAGGUUUACUGUGGUUCACAGUGAGCUGAGCUGAAAUGCAAUCUGAUGCCUGCCUUUUUUGGGAAAAGCUUCCUUGCUAAUAAGCACAGGGGACAGAUGGCAAAGGUCUCUCUGCUUAUUGUAUUUGGGCCCACUUUUGCCUUUGAACAUGGACUUUGGAAUCAGAUCACAAUUUUGGAACUAUCAAUGGAUCCAGGGUGAUCACCUGCCUGACAGUGAGGAGGGAUAACCCAGAACAUGGGAGAUACCUGUCACUUUAUGGUGUCUGUGACCCAGUAAAUGGAACAGGCCCGAUCUGCUCUGCCCAUGGACUUUGUUUUGAUGACACGUUCACUAUUUCCCACUCGAUUUUAUAGUCGGAGUUCUCUGUUAGGACAACAGAAAGUACAGUAACUUUCCUCUCUUUGCAGUGGAGCUGAUUUUCUAGUUCUUGGGGCCCUGAGGGUGGCAGGGAUCAGCUGCCUGCUCAGGAUGGGGGGACCCUCCAAGGUCAUGUGCCAGUGCCUUCCUGCAGCUCCUCAGGUGUCUGCACAGGGUGCUGUCAACCCCUGGAGGCACCCAGACGAUCCAGUUCCUAGAAGGUCCGGGAGAGAGAGUGUGUAGGUUCUACCAGCUACACACUCAGCUGUGAGGAUCCCCUUCAUUCACUACAACUCCUCUAAGCAGAACACACCUAAGUAUGAAAUGAAGCGUGUGUCUCUGAUACGUAAGGUCAAAGAAAAAGAUGGAAAUGGCACCACCCCCCCUACCCCACAGCCACCCCAGUCAGAGGGUGGAGUAGACUCCUGGGGCCGUGGCCUGGAUCCCUCCACACUGAUGUGUCCCUAACAGGGGUGCAGUGUAAACGGCUCUUCCUCAAGCCUGGCUCUUGAGCUCAUGUGAGCAGGGCAGACACGGUUUUAUUUCCCCAAGGGCCAGAGAGGUAAGUAUCAACCCACCGCCUUCCACAGACAAGGAAAUAAGCUCAAAGAGGUUAAGUCGCUGAUGCAGUGGAGGGUGGAUCUGGGAGUCACGCCCCGGGUCUGUCAGACUCCUGAGCCAGUCUUCUUUGCCGUCACUUCACAACAAACUUGGUUUGGGUUUUUGUUGCUGAGAUGCAGAUACUGUUCCAUGAUGGGACAGUCACUGUUGUCCCAGUACCGUGUCCACCGGUGACGUCCAGGCACCCAGCAGGGCAAAGGCACCGUGAACGGCUCUCAGACCCUCUCUGUGUCGCCUUCAGGGGAGCUGCUCUGAAGCCCAGAGACCUGGAGUCCACUGGUGGGAAGGGCCUGCCUCAGAGCCAACAGGCAGGCAGGACGUUGACUUUCCCUGCAGGGAGGCACUGCACCAUGCCAGAGAGGCUUUGCCAUCACCCCCCAGGCCCGGUUACGGCCCAGUUAGGACUCGACCCGUCUCCCUCUGUUUAGCAGAUACUAGGAAUUGAGAGGCGAGCAGAGGCAGAGGAGGUGCUUUCAGUGGCUGCAUGGCCUCUCGGGAGGUGACCCAGCCGCCAUGGUGGUCUGGAGCCCAAAGACUGAGAAUGGAAAAUGGCUGCACUGGUUUUGCUGUCGGUGCCCUUCAGCCUGUGUGUCUGUAAACUGGAAGAUCACGGUGCCUCCCUCAGGAACCUCCCCACCCUUGAGAAGUGUGUCUUGACCAAACACCCACAACCCCUCCCCCUGAUACUUUGGCAGGGGUCAGUGCCCUCCUCUGUGUUCCUAGGUUUCUAGGACUUAAAUCCCGCCAUCACUCACACAACAGGUGGCUGUCAUCUGCUUGCAGGUUCCAGCCCACAUCAUCCCUACAUCCCCAAACUAGGCCCAGGAGGCUGAGAUGUAGUGUCUUGGCGGUGCUGAGACUGUUUCCUCAAUGAACAAAGGACCCUGA
rnacentral:lncRNA from 1 species